rnacentral:rRNA from 1 species
ACCAGACUCCUACGGGAGGCAGCAGUGGGGGAUAUUGCACAAUGGGGGGAACCCUGAUGCAGCGACGCCGCGUGGGUGAAGGAGUAUUUCGGUAUGUAAAGCCCUAUCGGCAGGGAAGAAGCAAGACGGUACCUGACUAAGAAGCCCCGGCUAACUACGUGCCAGCAGCCGCGGUAAUCCGUAGGGGGCGAGCGUUCUCCGGAUUCACUGGGCGUAAAGGGAGCGUAGACGGCCAAGCAAGCCAGGGGUGAAAGCCCGGGGCCCAGCCCCGGGACUGCCCUUGGAACUGCGUGGCUGGAGUGCAGGAGGGGCAGGCGGAAUUCCUGGUGUAGCGGUGAAAUGCGUAGAUAUCAGGAGGAACACCGGUGGCGAAGGCGACUAUCUGGCACAUAACUGACGCUGAGGAGCGAAAGCGUGGGUAGCAAACAGGAUUAGAUACCCCUGUA